ACACCUCCCCGCAACUGAGGGAGCCGGCUCCGGCCUCGGCCAGCCCAGAAAGGGGCUCACACAGUGCAGGGCCGGGCUGAAGGGCUCCUUAAGGGCGGCCAGAGUUGGCGCCAAGGCUGAGGAGGUGCCCAGAGCGAGCGAGGGCUGCCAGGGCUGCUAGCAGGCUGUCACCUCUCAAUAGCAGUUUUGUAUAUGGGAUCUAGCCCCUCCCUAAGAGGUUGAUUCUAAGGAAGCCAACAGCCGUGUUGUGAGUACCCAAUGGAAAGUCUGUUGUGGCAGAAAACUGAUGUCUCCAGCCAACAGCACUGAGGCCCUGAGACCUGCCAACUGUCAUAAAGCUACUCAUCACAAAAUAAUCAGUUUUCAUUUUCAUCAAGGGAAGACUUCAACUGUAUUAGAACAUGGUUAUGUUGUAUAACUUGGGGACAUUGAGGAAAAGUAAAAACAGUGACAUGUAUGUGACUACAAGCUUUUAGAGCUUUUUGUUUUAUUGUAAUAAGAGUACUUAAAGGAGAACUACCCUUUUAACAAAACUUUAAGUGUACAAUACAGUAAUGUUUAAUUAUGGGAACAGUGUUGUACAAUAAAUCUCUAGAAC
ensembl:lncRNA MIR4300HG MIR4300 host gene